GACGAACGCUGGCGGCGUGCCUAACACAUGCAAGUCGAACGGAAAGGCCCUGCUUUUGUGCGGUGCUCGAGUGGCGAACGGGUGAGUAACACGUGAGUAACCUGCCAUUGACUUUGGGAUAACUUCAGGCAACUGGGGCUAAUACCGGAUAGGAGCUCCUGCUGCAUGGUGGGGGUUGGAAAGUUUCGGCGGUUGGGGAUGGACUCGCGGCUUAUCAGCUUGUUGGGGGGGUAGUGGCUUACCAAGGCCUUGACGCGUAGCCGGCCUGGGAGGGUGACCGGCCACAUUAGGACGGAAAUGCGGCACGGACUCCUAUGGUAGGCAGCGGAGGGGUAUAGUGUACAAUAGGAGGAAGCCAGAUGCAGCAACGCCGCGUGGGGUAAGACGGCCAUCGGGUUGUAUACCGCUUUCGCCUGUGACGAAGUGUGAGUGACAGUAACGGGUAAAGAAGCACCGGCUAACUACGUG
rnacentral:rRNA from 1 species